UACGUAGGGGGCGAGCGUUGUCCGGAAUCAUUGGGCGUAAAGCGCGUGUAGGCGGCUCGUUAAGUCCGGUGUGAAACCUUGGGGCUCAACCCCAAGCCUGCACUGGAUACUGACGAGCUCGAGUCCGGGAGGGGAGAGCGGAAUUCCUAGUGUAGCGGUGAAAUGCGCAGAUAUUAGGAAGAACACCGGUGGCGAAGGCAGCUCUCUGGAACGGUACUGACGCUGAGACGCGAAAGCGUGGGGAGCGAACAGG
rnacentral:rRNA from 1 species